UCCAUAGAUAGAGAGAAAGAGCGUGAGGGUGGAGACAGAUGCCUUUUUCCAACUAAACACAAUUUUUUUUUUGGUAAACCUUUCAUUUGAAGAAUGGGGUUCCUUGCGAGAGGAGGAAAUGUUUUUCUCUUGGAAAAAUAUAGAAAGAGAGCGUGAGAGAACUUUUUCCAACUUAAACUAAACACAAUUUUUUGUAAACCUCUCAUUUGAAGAAUGGGGUUCCUUGCAAGCGGAGGAAAUAUUUUUUCUCUUGAAGAAAAAAUAGAGAGAGAAAGAGUCCAUAACACACCAGACCUCGGAAUGCAACCACCACGUGGUCCACAGAUGGGCAAACCCCCACCGUAAAAUCUUCGAAACAAUACUUGACAACUCAUUUAUGGUUUUACACUUGUACAAAC